GUUUGUCUGACUGGCUUCUCAUUCUGCUGGAGCUGCAGAGAGAGAGAUCCUGACAGUGUGUGCAUCCUUUUCUGGUACCCUGUAACUAACACUCACAUCACUGAGCCAGAGCAUCCUCUGUCACAGCUACCUGGGGUCACAGCUAACCCUAGACUUGGAUUUUGUGGGCUCUUGUGAAAUUAGAAAAAAAAAACAACUAGGAAAAAAUCACUGCUGGAGGGAGGAAGAAAAAGAAAAACAAUAUUGUCUGCUGCUGGAAGAGGAGAGGAGAGAACACAGUGAGAGCUACUGAACAAUCAGCCAGAGAAGAGGAAUUGUCAAGCAGAGCCAUGCAGUCCUUCUUGUUUCAUAGUAUCUGGAUGCUGGGAUUUGGUCUGUGCCUCUUGUCAAUGCAAGG